rnacentral:tRNA from 1 species
GGAAUAGUGGCGGAAUUGGUAGACGCGCCUGUAUAGUGACAGGCAGAUGUAAUGGGUUCGAGACCCUUAACCGACUGGAUAGGUUACACAAUACAGGUUCGACUCCUGUCUAUUCCA